CGUCGGUACAGCCCUGAGCACCCCCAUCUUCAGGCUGUCGAACACACCCUAGAGGCGGAGUUAGAUGGUUCAAGU
rnacentral:ribozyme from 1 species